CUGUCUCGAUUGCGUCCUGUCAGCCUGAUUGUAGCCAUACUUGCUUCGAAGUCCCUCGUUAUAUCUCAGUAUAUUAAUAUUAUCAUAUUUCUAUAGCGUUUUUUAAAAUUAUAAUUCUUGUUGAAAAUUAUGUUUAUCCGUUCAGUUAGUGAUUUUUGUAAUUCGAUUAUUGUGUGCUGUGUCUUUUUUUGUUUCUUCACUAGCUAGCUAUUAACGUUUUAACUAGUAAGGUGGCUAGCAAUUAGCCAACGCCUCCCUCCCCUACCAAUCAUGGCACUGUUUUACUCAGGACGCAAGAGCUGCCAUAGAUCACAUUGACGGAUGUACAUCUUCUGGCCAAGACAAGUAGCAAAGCACCGAACUCCAAGUUAAAAACAAGGAUUCAAACUUUGUGUCCAGUUACCUUUUCAACUAUGAAGCUUCGAACAGGGCCAACGUGACAGGAGAGGUCAGCAUAAGGGUUUGCUGCUUCAGGUCCAGGAGGAAAAAUGAGAAACCACACAGUUUGAGUGUAGGGUGAAAAGUCAGGUGUUCGUGACACUAUAUGCAGGUUACACAGUCGGAGAUGAAGCCUAGUCUUAGACUAAGAAGUUCCUGUCAAUGGAGAUCUGCAUUUAAGAGGCAUUGCUUAGUCUAGGACUAGGUUUAACCCAUGUCGAUGAAACCGUUCUUAGUGUAGUAAUUGUUAAUUUCUCUUCCUUGCUGUUUAUGUAAGCUCUGUUAUGUUGGACACAUUAGAUUACGUUUAAACAAGGACAUAUACCCCUAAUAGAAAAGUUUAAACCUGUAUUGCUAUAAUUAAUUUAGUGGCUGUUUCAUGUUGCGCCAGUCAUUUCUGUUUGCUAGUUGUGACACAUGUUGAGUGAUUUUAAGUCUAAUCAUUUUCCUUUUAUAUCCCAACGUGGGUUGUUCUGAAUCCCUGUGAGCCAGUAACAAUGACACAACAUCACCACACAGUUGCAUUACUAUUCCAGUCUGCACACUAAGAUGAACACCAGUUGUCCCUCCUGUGCACAGCUGCACAGAGGAAGAGCAGCAGUGUCAUAAGGACUAUGGGUCUGCAACCUGGCCCAUAGGCAAAAUUACCAUCACCAAGCCCACCAAAAAGCGCAUGGCAGAAAGAGGGAUUAGGUGGUUUCAAGUACAUUGUUUAGAUUGGCUAACCACAGCGGCUGCUUUGCGGAAGUACACUCUACAGCACCCAUCUUGGACCACUCCCCGACCUCUCAGUUCUCCAGAUAGAAGAGACAUACAAUAACUUUGACCCUCUAUCCAAGCCAUUGAUCUGCAGCAUGGAGAUGUGUGCUGAAAAGCUUUUAGUUGACUCCCACUUUGGAAAGGUACAGGUGGGGAGCCUCCUGUCUUACCAGCAGCCUCCAAUCACAACGUGACCAUAGUUCACUAUAAGGAGACACCACCAUUCCCUUUACUGCCCCUGGGUGGCUACAGACUGGAGAGCAACUUUUUUUUUUUUUUUUAUUUCACCUUUAUUUAACCAGGUAGGCUAGUUGAGAACAAGUUCUCAUUUGCAACUGCGACCUGGCCAAGAUAAAGCAUAGCAGUGUGAACAAACAACACAGAGUUACACAUGGAGUAAAGCUUUCAAGGCUGUACUUGUGCUCAAUGAAGACCAGCUUCACAUAGUCUCUUCAGGUGAGAGAAUACAUAGAGACCCAGUGGUGUUCUCACUAAUUAGAGAGAAGGGUGACUGGCACUACUUAUGUGUACAUGCAAAAGUUCUUAGGCAGGAAAGACUAAAUAACAAGGGACAGGCUCCUUUAUCUUUCAAUUCAUGAAAGAGAAACAAACCAACAUCUGUCUGUGCAAUUCAUUAAUAAUUUAAAAUAAUUCCGUAAAAUGUUUCUGUUCUCAUCACUGUAAAUAAAAACCUUAUAACGUUUUGUUUGGAGUAUAAGCAGAGGUAUUUAUUAUCAAUAAAGGGACUACAGGGUGUUAGACAAUGUGGAUGGUCACAGCUAAAAAAGGAUAGAUGCAUUGCGGUAGUAGCUCAUUGCCCCUUGGUCCAUGCCUUCACAAGAGGCCUUCACUGGUAGUUUUGUGAGAAGGCAAGCCACAGCCCAGAUGCAGUUGAUGCUUCCCAUCAGUGACAUGAGGAUCUCUUGGACAUGGUAAUAUUCCACUGGAAUAGCAAAGGUACUGCUCCCUUUUUUAGACGUUGAAGCCCACUUGAAGGUUCAAUGAAAUCUUCUUAAAUUCCUAACUUCCAAUAAAGAUGCCACACCAACUAAUAAUGUUUAACGUCCUUAGAACUAAUGUUAGCUAGGUAGGUACUGGUAGCGAACGUUUGCUAGCUAAACAGUCAAAAGACAACCCAAUUGAAUUUAAAAAAUGUAUAGAAAUAUGAUUAUAUUAAUAUACUGAGGUAAUGAUAAAAUGAGCGACUUCGAGGCUAGUAUGGCUGACAAGUAGAGAGCCGACUCUAUUUACAAAAAAUGAAGAUAUGAAUAAUCAAAAUAUUUUAAAUGAACUAAUUCAAAGAACAAAAAAUAAUAAUAUAGGCCUAAAUACUCAAGCGCACACAUUCGUUCUGACUGUCUGCUCAGACUAACAGCCUCACCUGUUGUUCCUAUCAAUCAGACAUGCAGUGUCAACCAAUGAACCAACGAUGGGUGAGGGAGGGCCGAGCCAACUUACACAGUCACACACUUAGCAGCCGAGGAGAGAGGAAGGACAGCUGUGAAAACAGCUGGAAAAUGAGUCGGAAGCACAGUAGCAUUUAGAUGCAUUUUAAUAAUGUAGACAAUGUUAGAGCACAGUGUAGAAUUUGCCAAAACAAUCUCAUGUAAAGCCGGUUCUACGCACAACCUACACCGCCAUAUGCGAACUGUGAAGCUAGCGGGUCUGCUAGUGAUAGUGCUGGAGCCAGCACCUCCACAAGUGGAGAUGUAUCCACGCAGUCUUCUAUGGACCAGUUUAUGCCAAAGUCUAUGUAGCAGAACAAGGCCAAAUUGAUAUUGCAUUGGAUAAAUUUGCACCGAUUUCCAGCCAUUUUCGAUUGUGGAGGACGGAGGUUCUAGAAAUGAUCGCAAUAGUCUAAAUCCAAUGUACACAAUUCCAAGCAGGAAAACCCUUUUAAAAUCACUUAUUCCACAACUGUACGAGAGCACACAGGCUUCAGUGCGGGAAAGCCCAAAAAGCUACUGCAGUUUGCCUUACCACUGACUGCUGGACAUCAAGGGUAACCACUUCUUACAGGUCGGUUACAUGUCACUUCAUUGAAGAUUUUUCAAUGUCUAGCUGUCUUCUGGACUGUUUUGAGUUCAGCGACAGACACACCUCAGAGAACUUGGCAGAGGAACUGUUGAGAGUGGCCAGAAAAUGGCAAGUAGAUGGAAAAGUGGUCUGUUCUGUUAGUGACAAUGCAGCUAACAUAACCAAAGCCAUGAACAUUUUAAAAUAGAUCCAUGUCUUGCCCACACACAACCUGAUUGUAAGAGAUGCUCUGAAGGUGAUGAAGCCCACCGGACAAAGUGAAAGGAGCUGUGGCAUACUUCCACAGGAGCACAGUAGGUGAUGAAAAACUAAAGUCUACACAACGCCAGAUGGGGAUGCCUGAGCUGAGGCCUAAACAAGACUGCACUACAAGGUGGAAUUCAACAUUUUAUAUGUUGAAGUGGUUUCUUGAGUCAAAGGAUGCCAUCAUCUCUACCCUGGCCACUGUCAAUGCACCUGUUGAUGCUCUGACCCUAGAGGAAUGGGAGGUGGUGGAGGAGAUGUGCAGAGUCCUGGAACCCUUUGAGCAGGUCACUGUGGAGAUCAGUGGAGAGGGCAGUUAUUACUACAUCAUUAUUCAAUCCACUAUUAUAUAUGUAUAUUAGCAGUAGAUGAGAAUGUAGUAUCAGUAGACAAAACAUGAACCUGAACUAAUAAGUUACUGUU